rnacentral:rRNA from 1 species
UACGGGGGGGGUAAGCGUUGUUCGGAAUUACUGGGCGUAAAGGGCUCGUAGGCGGCCAACUAAGUCAUACGUGAAAUCCCUCAGCUUAACUGGGGAACUGCGUGUGAUACUGGAUGGCUUGGAUUUGGGAGAGGGAUGCGGAAUUCCAGGUGUAGCGGUGAAAUGCGUAGAUAUCUGGAGGAACACCGGUGGCGAAGGCGGCAUCCUGGACCAAUAUUGACGCUGAGGAGCGAAAGCCAGGAGAGCAAACGGG